GAUGAACGCUGGCGGCGUGCCUAACACAUGCAAGCCGAGCGAUUUACUUCGGUAAAGAGCGGCGGACGGGUGAGUAACGCGGGGGUAACCUGCCCUGUACACACGGAUAACAUACUGAAAGGUAUGCUAAUACGGGAUAACAUAAGAGAGUCGCAUGGCUUUCUUAUCAAAGCUUUUGCGGUACAGGAUGGACCCGCGUCUGAUUAGCUAGUUGGUAAGGUAACGGCUUACCAAGGCGACGAUCAGUAGCCGACCUGCGAGGGUGAUCGGCCACAUUGGAACUGAGACACGGUCCAAACUCCUACGGGAGGCAGCAGUGGGGAAUAUUGCACAAUGGGCGAAAGCCUGAUGCAGCAACGCCGCGUGAGCGAUGAAGGCCUUCGGGUCGUAAAGCUCUGUCCUCAAGGAAGAUAAUGACGGUACUUGAGGAGGAAGCCCCGGCUAACUACGUGCCAGCCGCCGCAGUAA
rnacentral:rRNA from 1 species